AGGAUUUUCUAUAUACAGUAUCAUGUCAUCUGCAUGUAGUGACAUUUGUACCUCUUCUAUCCCAAAUGGAGUCCUCCUUUUAUUUCUUCUUCUCGCCUGAUUGCUAUGACUAGGACUUCCAAUACUGUGUUGAAUAGAAGGCAUGAGAGUGGGCAUGCUUGUUCCAAUUUUUAGCAAGAAGGCUUUCAGUUUUUUACCAUUGAGUAUUAUGUUGGCCAUGGAUUUGUCAUAAACAGCUUAUAUUAUGCUGAGAUAUGUUCCCUCUAUACCCACUUUGCUAAGAUUUUUUUUUUUUUUUAUCAUAAAUGGGUGUUGAAUUUUUAUCAAAUGCUUUUUCUGCAUCUAUUGAGAUGAUCAUGUGGUUUUUGUCCUUUCUUUUGUUGAUGUGAUGUAUUACAUUGAUUGAUUUGCAUAUGUUGAAGCACCCUUGUAUCCCUGGCAUGAACCCCACUUAGUCAUGAUGUAUAAUCUUUUUUAUGGGCUGUUGGAUUCUAUUUGCUGAUAUUUUGGUGAGGAUUUUGACAUCUAUGUUCAUCAGUGA